rnacentral:rRNA from 1 species
GUAGUCUCGCACAGAUGCAUAUCAAUAAGCGGAGGAAAAGAAACUAACAAGGAUUCCCCUAGUAACGGCGAGUGAAGCGGGAAGAGCUCAAAUUUGAAAUCUUAAAGGGUUUCCCUUUACGAAUUGUAGUUUAAAGAAGUGUUUUCUGUUGAGGUUUUGGUAAAAGUUCUUUGGAAUAGGACAUCAUAGAGGGUGAGAAUCCCGUAUUUGACCUUUACUUUCAACUUUGUGAUACACUUUCAAAGAGUCGGAUUGUUUGGGAAUGCAGUCCAAAAUGGGUGGUAAAUUUCAUCUAAAGCUAAAUAUUGGCGAGAGACCGAUAGCGAACAAGUACCGUGAGGGAAAGAUGAAAAGAACUUUGAAAAGAGAGUUAAACAGUACGUGAAAUUGUCAAAAGGGAAGCGUUUGACACCAGUGUUGUUUUUCUGAAAAUCAAUUAAAGAACUGUUUAUGCUAAGCUGUUUAGACUUUAUCAGCUAUCUGUUUAGUUUUGAGCUUUUCUUUAAUGCACUUUUCAGUUAACAAGUCAACAUCAAUUUCUUUUGCUGUAAAAAAGCUUGAGGAAGGUGGCUUGAGAUUCGUCUUAAGUGUUUAUAGCCUCUUGCCUAUGCAGUCGGAGAGAUUGAGGUCUGCAGCGUAGAUCCUUCGGGGCUAAAUGCAUUUGUGCUAAGUUAUAGCAUUUUAUAGACAACUUGUUGACUAUGAUUUGUCUUGUAGCUUACUCGCUUAUGUUAUUUUACCUACGCUUAGGAUGGUUGACGCGCGUGUGUGCGUG